GAUGAACGCUGGCGGUAUGCUUAACACAUGCAAGUCGAACGGACUCUUCGGAGUUAGUGGCGGACGGGUGAGUAACGCGUGAGAAUCUGGCUUUGGGUUCGGGACAACCACUGGAAAAGGUGGCUAAUACCGGAUGUGCCGAGAGGAUAAAGAGAAAUUGCCUGAAGAUGAGCUCGCGUCUGAUUAGCUAGUUGGUGAGGUAAAGGCUCACCAAGGCAGCGAUCAGUAGCUGGUCUGCGAGGAUGACCAGCCACAGGGGGACUGAGACACGGCCCAGACUCCUACGGGAGGCAGCAGUGGAGAAUUUUCCGCGAGGGGCGAAAGGCUGACGGAGCAAUACCGCGUGGGGGAAGGAGUCUCGUGGGGUGUAAGCUUCUUUUCUUGGGGAAGAACAAAAUGACGGUACCUAAGGAAUCAGCACCGGCUAACUCCGUG
rnacentral:rRNA from 1 species